rnacentral:rRNA from 1 species
UACGUAGGGUGCAAGCGUUGUCCGGAAUUAUUGGGCGUAAAGGGCUCGUAGGCGGUUUGUCGCGUCUGCUGUGAAAACCCGAGGCUCAACCUCGGGCCUGCAGUGGGUACGGGCAGACUAGAGUGUGGUAGGGGAGAUUGGAAUUCCUGGUGUAGCGGUGGAAUGCGCAGAUAUCAGGAGGAACACCAAUGGCGAAGGCAGAUCUCUGGGCCGUAACUGACGCUGAGGAGCGAAAGCAUGGGGAGCGAACAGG